rnacentral:rRNA from 1 species
GAUGAACGCUGGCGGCGUGCCUAAUACAUGCAAGUCGAGCGGAAAGACGCGGCUCUUGCUGGUCUCUCGUUAGCGGCAGGGGGGAGUAACACGCGAGGAACCCCUCCCUGUCUGACUGGUAACACUUCGGAACUCCGGCGAUUAUACCGGAGGAUAUCUUGCACCGUGUGGGUGGUUGGAGAAAGUCGGCGGUGGUGGCUGGUUUCGCUGGUUCUCAGCUUCAUGGUGAGGUAGUGGCUGACCAGGGCUAUGACGGGUAGCCGGCCUGGGAGGGUUACCGGCGACAUUGCGACUGCGAUACGGACCAGACUCCUACGGGCGGCAGCAGUGGGGAAUAUUGCGCAAUGGGCGGAAGCCUGAUGCAGCAACGCCGCGUGCGGGAUGACGGCCUUCGGGUUAUAAACAGCUUUCGCAUGUGACGAAGCGUGAGUGACGGUACUGGGUAAAAAAGCACCGGCUAACUACGUG